GGAGCAAGACACCCCAGAGCAAUUAACAAGCUACACAAGGCCUUUAUGUGUUUUACUCUCGACCAAAACCAGGCAGAGCGUGUGUUUGUUCUUGGGAACUCCGACUGGUUUUUUGUGAUCCUGGAUCUGAAGUGGUUCUGGAUAUGGAUGGCGAGCCAGACCCUGUGAAAACUCUUGGCGAAUCCAAAAGCAGUGUGGCCAGCUGUUCUGGAUGCAGGAGUAGAGCUACAGUCUGACUUACUUUGGAUCACAGGAUUUCAGAUAAGCAAGAGCAAAAACUGCUUACUUCAUACGGAUCGUUCUCUGGAAACUAUUGAACUCACAAUAUCCUGUUCAUCAGGAGUCAGCUCUAAAGAGACUACUUAUUUUAUUUUGUUGUUAUUUUCAAAAGAGCGCUCUUCUCUGUUGAUCUUCUGUUAAUUCUCGAUGCUGUUUACAUUGGAUUAUUGCACCACUGUAACAUUGUAAUAAAUCUGCCGGCUGUUCAACACUCAA